GUCCCGGUAGCUCAGACUUUUCUCAAAAGAUGAGAAGGGGAGCAAUAGGUAGAGCAUCUGACUGUUACAAUUUGUAGAAAUCAGGGGGUCGAAGGUUCGAGUCCUUCCCGGGACG
rnacentral:tRNA from 1 species